UUAAAAAAUAACAAUUCUCCAGUUCUUUUUUUGCUUACUCUAUUUUUUUUAACCUGUAAAAUUUUCUUUACAGUUUUCCAAGAAACCAAACAUAACAAUAACAGUCUCAGCUGCAGCAGUUCAUCACUCUCCGUGUUGACAGCACUGCUGCGUUUUGUACUUGGAACACAUGCAUAAUAUAUAUAAUUAAUGGUAAAUCAUAACUCAACAGAGUGGAAAUUUUUUACUUUUAUUUAAACAUACUGUAUAAUGAAUAUUCAUUUAUACUGAUUUGUAAAAGUUUUUAAACACUGAAACAAUCAUUGCUAAAAUAUAUAUUCUUUCAUAAUAUUUGAGCAGUGAGGCAAGAGGAUGUAAUUUGAUUGUUGGCAUUACUGAUGACAUCUCUUUAUGUUCAACAAUAUAUCAUGAGUUACCAAUGCAAAAACAGGUUCAGGUUUCAUUGUUUUUGCAAAUUUUUUUCCAUGCUUUUCAUUUUUAUUUAAAUGUAUUUCUAUAUUUUGGUUUUUCCAUUCCUAGGGAUGAGCCAGUUAGUUUGCAUCGGGAAGUAGCGAAAGUAAAGAUGAAAAAGUAAUACCUUUAACCUCACUAGCCUCAAGAGUUACACCUUGUUUACUAGCUCACCUUAAGAGAGUUGAUUUUAGAUAGGAAGAAGAUAGAAGGAUAUACUUAAGAUAUAUAGAAAUUAUGAGGUGAUAUGUUCAUAAGUAUCUGCAGGCUCUUAGUCAAAAUGAGUAGGAACUCAUUCAUAUCGAAAUAGUUGAACUUAAAGAUGUGAUCUUUGAUUGAAAUGAUGGGAAUUCUGCAAGAGACUUUCAUUUGUCCACUGGAUGUCACUCUUACUGAAAGGCAGCUACUAGGGUAAGACUAUGACUAAGGUCUUUUUAAAGGGGGAAAUUAAGAGUCGAGGUUCAUUUUCAGUCACAACUUAUAGGAACAUUUGUAUGAUUUUUAAGAAUUUUAAGUGACAGAUGCUAAAAAGAAGAUAAUGGGUUGAAAGAUAUAAGGAAUUUAGCCUAAUUACUGACCCUGUGUAAAAAGUGGGCAUUUUGUAACAUUCCUUCAGGAAGAAUAGAAAUGUAUACCUUUUCCUGCAUGUUUGUGAGCACUGCGAGUCUUACAAGAUUAUUCCAGUUUUCAAUGAUUUUCAGAAUAAAAGUCAAUCAGCAUUGUUAUUUAUCAUUUAGGUAUUGAACACUGGAUUGCAUGGUGGCAUGUGUCUUUAGUCCAUUACAAAAUGUGCUUGUAUUGAUAGGAUCAUGUUGUUAAAUUGUGUAUUUUCAAAAUUAAUUGAUGUUUUUAAAAUGUUGAGACCAAAGUAGAGUAGAAUUAUGACUUUAUUUUAAUAUAAUUGUAAAAUUAUUAGAGGUAUCUGUUGUAGAGCUUUACGUAUUAAAGAGAGAUGUCGGUGCAUAUGAAAACAGUAAUAUUAUUGUGCUCGUAUGCUUGCAUUACAGGGUAAGUGAGCCCUGAAGAGCUCUUACUUUCAGUAUGGCUGCAGCUGCAGUAGCCUGCAAGGGCGUGUCAACAUUUCAGUAUAAAUUAUAGCUUCCUGCUUCAGUAUCUCUGCUGUUUCAGAACUUUAAGCCAAGUUCAAUCUUCUUCGGUGUUGAAAUUUAAAUGGAUCGAUUCAGUGAUUCCUGACCUUAGCUGCACGUUAGAACUCCUGAGAGCUUUAAACACUAUUAGUACAUGAGUCCCAUUCUGUAUCGAGUAAGAUGAGGACCUCUGAGGGAGGGGACGGGUACCUUUUUUCUUUUUUUUUUUUUUAAGCUUUCCAGUUGGUUCUAAAGGACAUCUAGGGUAGAGAACAACUUGUUUCCCCCUGUAUAAAAUGCUCUGAUCACACUGCUGUCAUGAACUUAAAUUCUAAUGGGAAAGACAAAAUGAAGUGCAUAGUAUCAGAAUAGAAAGAUUCAAUUUACAGCUACUGACCGUUAAGUAGUUGCAAAUACAAUAAUUGGUUAUCUUUUUUAGUAAUUUCUUUAGAAAUAAAAGGUACUUGGCAUUCAUUAUUUGGGAAAUAAUGAAUUUUAUUUCCUUUUAUCUUUUGUUUUUUAACCUGCCAGUAGUUUAAAUGCAAGAUUUUAAUGUUUGUCCUCUUUCUGCCCCCUUUGCCUUUAAAACUUACAAUAAAUGUGUAUUACUUGAGAAAGCAUGUUUAAAAACUGCAGAUGAGAAAUACUGUCAUUGGUUAUUAUGUGCUGUUUUAAUAUCACCACUUUAUCCAUUAGUAUACUGGAUUAUAAUGACCGAGUUCUUUGGGGGUCAAGAAUUCAGAUGUGUUUUUUAAAAAUCAUUGUCUUCCUCUACUAAGUUUUUUAGUUAUUUUGUUCAAGUACUUAAGUAGUUUGGCUCAAGUACUUUGUUUACAAUUAAAAUGGAUAUUAUAGCAUUUAGUAGGAGAAAUGGCUGUGGCUUAUCUGAAAAGAAUGUCAGCAUGACUUGGUGUAGAUUUAAAAGAAUACAUGUUGUGAAUAUUUUAUAAUGUGGAAUGAUCACUGAUCUAUCAAGGACUCUGGUAAUUGUAUUUCCUGAAUAAAUGUACGUUUAUGACUUUUCUAACUUA